CAAGGAAAGACAUUGUCAUCCAUGUCUGAAAAUAGCCCACAACAGAAGGAAGGAAACGGAUGUCAGUCAUUUCUGCUCUUCGUCUCUCAUUUCCCCUUGGAAAAUUUUUCAUUACAAGCCUGUGUGUCCAGGGCAACAAACAUCCCAUGGAAAUGCUGCACUCCAGCCAGGAAACUCAGUGCACCCAGUGGGGAAAGAAUCAGCGUUUCCCUCUGUGUUUGCUGGCAACUGACAGCUGACUGCAAAAGUAGACCUGCAAAGAAAUCAACAUUUCAGACGUGACUGAAAACAGCCAGUGAGAUCCAGAGGCUGGGCCAAGCACAGUGUGGUUCCCUCAAAAUCAAACCCAAUGAAAAGGUGGGACCCCUCUGCAAGUCACCACUGCCAUCCCACAGAGCUCAAAAACGACUCCAGAGCGGGCACUGAGGUGGAUGGGCUGGGGAAGCAAGGACAGACACAGAAGCACUGAAGAUCCACAUCUGGACAGGCUGAUGCAGAGGAGGAGCAGCCAUCCGUGUUGUCAUGUGCUCCCAUCUGGUCAAAGGCAGUUCAUUCUGAAGUUUUGGUAUCAGAGAAUUCAACACUGGAUUAACCUGAACCUUCAGGGAGAGUUUGAUCUUCAGUCAUCAUCCUUCACCAGCAGUCCUGACCUGGCAGAGUCCUUCUGCAAUUGCAGCAUGAACUCCUGUGCAAGAGGAUUGGAAAUACAGUUUCUGGGCACAGAGGAGCUGGUGUUUCUGUGGCCUAAGACCAAACACAGGAGUCAACCCCCAAGCCAGACUCAGAGGAGUGCUGAAGUAGAGCCACAUGAAAAUUUGGCAUUUUUUGUGUCUCUUCACUGCAUUCAACACUGCACAUGUCAGAGCAGAUGAACAUUCCUGUGAAAACUUCAAUAAAUGGAAUA